GAAAUGCGAUAAUUAAUGUGAAUUGCAGAAUUCAGUGAGUCAUCGAGUCUUUGAACGCACAUUGCGCCCCCUGAUAUUCCGGGGGGCAUGCCUGUCCGAGCGUCAUUGCUGCCCUCAAGCACGGCUUGUGUGUUGGGCUUCCGUCCCUGGCAACGGGGACGGGCCCAAAAGGCAGUGGCGGCACCAUGUCUGGUCCUCGAGCGUAUGGGGCUUUGUCACCCGCUCCCGUAGGUCCAGCUGGCAGCUAGCCUCGCAACCAAUCUUUUUAACCAGGUUGACCUCGGAUCAGGUAGGGAUACCCGCUGAACUUAAGC
rnacentral:misc_RNA from 1 species